GAUGAACGCUGGCGGCGUGCCUAAUACAUGCAAGUCGAGCGAACAGACGAGGAGCUUGCUCCUCUGACGUUAGCGGCGGACGGGUGAGUAACACGUGGAUAACCUACCUAUAAGACUGGGAUAACUUCGGGAAACCGGAGCUAAUACCGGAUAACAUGUUGAACCGCAUGGUUUAACAGUGAAAGACGGUCUUGCUGUCACUUAUAGAUGGAUCCGCGCCGCAUUAGCUAGUUGGUAAGGUAACGGCUUACAAAGGCAACGAUGCGUAGCCGACCUGAGAGGGUGAUCGGCCACACUGGAACUGAGACACGGUCCAGACUCCUACGGGAGGCAGCAGUAGGGAAUCUUCCGCAAUGGGCGAAAGCCUGACGGAGCAACGCCGCGUGAGUGAAGAAGGUCUUCGGAUCGUAAAACUCUGUUAUUAGGGAAGAACAAAUGUGUAAGUAACUAUGCACGUCUUGACGGUACCUAAUCAGAAAGCCACGGCUAACCACGUG
rnacentral:rRNA from 1 species